UUUACAGAGUUUGAUUCUGGCUCAGGAUGAACGCUGGCGGCGUGCCUAAUACAUGCAAGUCGAACGCUUUGUGGUUCAACUGAUUUGAAGAGCUUGCUCAGAUAUGACGAUGGACAUUGCAAAGAGUGGCGAACGGGUGAGUAACACGUGGGAAACCUACCUCUUAGCAGGGGAUAACAUUUGGAAACAGAUGCUAAUACCGUAUAACAAUAGCAACCGCAUGGUUGCUACUUAAAAGAUGGUUCUGCUAUCACUAAGAGAUGGUCCCGCGGUGCAUUAGUUAGUUGGUGAGGUAAUGGCUCACCAAGACGAUGAUGCAUAGCCGAGUUGAGAGACUGAUCGGCCACAAUGGGACUGAGACACGGCCCAUACUCCUACGGGAGGCAGCAGUAGGGAAUCUUCCACAAUGGGCGAAAGCCUGAUGGAGCAACGCCGCGUGUGUGAUGAAGGGUUUCGGCUCGUAAAACACUGUUGUAAGAGAAGAAUGACAUUGAGAGUAACUGUUCAAUGUGUGACGGUAUCUUACCAGAAAGGAACGGCUAAAUACGUGCCAGCAGCCGCGGUAAUACGUAUGUUCCAAGCGUUAUCCGGAUUUAUUGGGCGUAAAGCGAGCGCAGACGGUUAUUUAAGUCUGAAGUGAAAGCCCUCAGCUCAACUGAGGAAUUGCUUUGGAAACUGGAUGACUUGAGUGCAGUAGAGGAAAGUGGAACUCCAUGUGUAGCGGUGAAAUGCGUAGAUAUAUGGAAGAACACCAGUGGCGAAGGCGGCUUUCUGGACUGUAACUGACGUUGAGGCUCGAAAGUGUGGGUAGCAAACAGGAUUAGAUACCCUGGUAGUCCACACCGUAAACGAUGAGUGCUAGGUGUUUGAGGGUUUCCGCCCUUAAGUGCCGCAGCUAACGCA
rnacentral:rRNA from 1 species